rnacentral:rRNA from 1 species
GUAUAUGUAUGAGUUAUGAUGCGAGUUACUANUUAUUGUAUUGCUUGUACAUACUUAUACAUUUAUUUGCAAGAUGUUGUCGGCGUGCACUUCUCCCCUAGUAGAACGUCGCGACCCGUUGGGUGUCGGUCUACGACCCGAGUNGGUAGACUUNUAAUAUUUUNCUAAUAUUGAAGACCCUUGGUGUUUUCUGACCGGCUGCCCGGCGGUACUCGUACGGUAUUUAGCCGCAAUUUNUNUUGCGUCCAUGUCCAUCGCAAGCGAGGCUAAUUUCUGAUAGUACG